rnacentral:lncRNA from 1 species
GUCAACUUGUGUAACCAUCAAGAGCACUGAAGCAUGCAGCGGUCCCCAGAAGGCUUGAGAUCCAGCCCCAGCGCGGCCAACCCUGCCUUUAGGGCCUGCGUGCGUUAUAGGCUGGAUCCGGCUCCUCCGGAAUCUUGAGGGUUAAGCGGCUCAGCCGCAAGGAAAGCGCACGGCCCAGCGGGAGCGCGCGCAGAAGCCCAGGGCGCCAGCAGCCGGAGCGCGCUCGCCUCGCGGGGGGUCGCCGGAACCGGACGCGGCCCCGCCCCCGGAGCCUCACCGGGCAGCGCCGCGUCCUUUGCCGGCCCGGGGCACCCACGAUUCGGAACGAACGGACCUCCCGACAGCGGCCGAGGCGCUGGGACCCAAACCCACGCGCGCGGGCUCUCCGCCCAUUUUCUGUGAGGCCCCAGCCUGAGGAGACCCCCGGGCUCGCGACUUCGGGCCUCUCUAGGACCUCGGAGAUGAAUCGUGGCCGAUGACGGUUGUCUGCCAUCAACCUAAUCACAACUGCUGUGCUGUCUUCACUGGAACAGAUCAACACGGCCCUGGUUCCUGGCAUGCAGCUAGUGGUCUGGUGAAUGCAUUCUUUCCAUUCCCAUCAAUAAAAAGGACCAAAGGCAGUUCAUGAUUAAGUGGGAAGGACAGCGGAAUACAUCCAACUUCUUGACAAAGGACUUGUCAACCCUCCUACUUCACACAGGGACUGAUUUUGUGGACAUUCUGUGGAACAUCCUUCAACUGAUAACAUCCUAAUAAUCAGACCUGGUGAAGAGGAAGUGGCAGGCGUACAUGGAUCCCUCAGUAACAUACAUACAUACCAGAGGAGGGGAGAUAAACCCUACAAAGAUGCCAGGGCCUUUUAUAUCAGUGAAGUUUUUAAGGGUCCAAGCAUCUGAGGCAUGCUGGGACAUUCUAAGGUAAGGGACAAAUUACUGCAUCUUGCCCUCACUACUAAGACUAAGAAAGAGGCAGUGUUUGGUGGGCCUCCUUGGAUUUUGGAGGCAGCACAUCCACUUUCAAGUGUGGUCCAGUCACACAGCCCAAGCACCAUAUGACCCGGCAGAUUCAAAUGGUGUUAGAGUCAUCUGUGUUGGAUAGAAAUGUCGUGUAGAGGUCUGCCAAGCCCAAUAGGAACUUGCCAAUAGAAGUCAUGCCUGCUGCAGCAGAGAACUAUGCAGUUUGAAAAGCAGCUCCUGGGAUGCUACUGACCAUGACAGCAAAUGACUACGUGCCUGUAGCUAUUGAUCACAGCUGAGU